rnacentral:sRNA from 1 species
CUCAAGGCCCCUCAACCUGAGGCAGAUCUUCCUAGGAGCCCUGGAAACUUGAUGGAGAGAGAAGAGCUGGCAGGGAGCCUGGCCCGGGCUAUUGCAGGUGGAGACGAGAAGGGGGCAGCCCAAGCGGCAGCCGUCUUGGCCCAGCAUCGUGUGGCCCUCAGUGUUCAGCUUCAGGAGGCCUGCUUCCCACCUGGCCCCAUCAGGCUGCAGGUCACACUUGAAGACGCUGCCUCUGCCGCAUCUACCGCGUCCUCUGCACAUGUUGCCCUGCAGGUCCACCCCCACUGCACCGUUGCAGCUCUCCAGGAGCAGGUGGGCACAGGGUCUAGGGAGCCCUGCCAGGAGCAGAGGAGCCUAGGUGACAUCACCUGCCCUGAUGCUCUGGCUACAGGUGUUCUCAGAGCUCGGUUUCCCGCCAGCCGUGCAACGCUGGGUCAUCGGACGGUGCCUGUGUGUGCCUGAGCGCAGCCUUGCCUCCUAUGGGGUUCGGCAGGAUGGGGACCCUGCUUUCCUCUACUUGC